UACGCAGGGGGCUAGCGUUGCUCGGAAUCACUGGGCGUAAAGCGCACGUAGGCGGAUUGCUAAGUCAGGGGUGAAAUCCUGGAGCUCAACUCCAGAACUGCCUUUGAUACUGGCGAUCUCGAGUCCGGGAGAGGUGAGUGGAACUGCGAGUGUAGAGGUGAAAUUCGUAGAUAUUCGCAAGAACACCAGUGGCGAAGGCGGCUCACUGGCCCGGUACUGACGCUGAGGUGCGAAAGCGUGGGGAGCAAACAGG
rnacentral:rRNA from 1 species